rnacentral:hammerhead_ribozyme from 1 species
GCACCGCUGUGGAGUCCCAGAACAGGACGGAACAGCCGUCCAGUGC